GUUUCUGCAGCCAGUAGGGAAUCUUCCACAAUGGGCGAAAGCUUGAUGGAGCAAUGCCGCGUGACUGAUGAAGGUCUUCGGAUUGUAAAGGUCUGUUGUAAGGGAAGAAGUGCUAGAAUAGGAAAUGAUUUUAGUAUCGACCAUACCUUACCAGAAAGCCACGGCUAACUAUGUGCCAGCAGCCGCGGUAAUACAUAGGUGGCAAGCGUUAUCCGGAUUUAUUGGGCGUAAAGCGUGCGUAGACGGUUUUGCAAGUCUGAGGUUAAAUUUAGGGGCUCAACCCCUAACCGCCUUGGAAACUGCAUUACUAGAGUAUAGGAGAGGUUAGUGGAAUUUCAUGUGUAGCGGUGAAAUGCGUAGAUAUAUGAAGGAACACCAGUGGCGAAGGCGGCUAACUGGCCUAUUACUGACGUUGUGGCACGAAAGCGUGGGGAGCAAAUAGGAUUAGAUACCCUAGUAGUCCACGCCGUAAACGAUGAGUACUAAGUGUUGCCAUGAGGCAGUGCUGUAGCUAACGCAUUAAGUACUCCGCCUGAGUAGUAUGCUCGCAAGAGUGAAAC
rnacentral:rRNA from 1 species